rnacentral:sRNA from 1 species
CUGCUGCUGCUGCUGCUGGUGCUUUUGCUGUCGAGUUCUAAAACUGAUUUCAUUAGCAUGCCCCUCCGCAUUUGUGCUUGUUCCGCUGUCAGUGCUUGUCGCUCCUUGUACAACUGUUUGCCCCCUGACAAGUGUCACAUUAAUUGACAGUUGCGUGGCUUUCCAUUGUUCACCCACGCGCCACUAAAUGGGCAUGGAUCAACUUGCCCUCUUUCGAGGUGAUGUCCUGCCAUGUUAUGGCGUUGGCAGGGGGCAGCUGGUGCUUUGCAGACGAAGGAUUUGCCUAUAAACAUAAACACAGCAAUGGGCACGUUUCCAUAUUUGUGCAAGGGGUAUUUUUCAGAUAUUUACUGCCAUGUACAAGUGCUGAGAGCACAAUUUGAGCAUUGCAUUUGGGCAAUCAACAAAAUUGAUAAGAGCCGAAAUGGGGAACCUUUUGCCAUGGGGCAUAGCAGACGCACGUUGGGAUUUCCUAGACGGCCAAGUGGAUACGUGUGCAGCCAAUUGGUAAAAUUACCCUUUCCCCAUUUAAAGCACUUGCCCACGUCCUGCCACGUCUUUUACUUCCUUGCUCACACAGCAGCAAACAGAUAAAAAAAAACAAACUCAGUCAAACCAAAAACCAAAGCCAAAAACAAAACUAUGCAACUCAAUUGCAGUCGGAGAGGGGGCAAAUGGAUGGACGCAAGCGGCUUGCAUAGGUCCUGAGCCUGGACCCAAAACUAUUUUUUGGUUUAUUUUCUAGACAACGCCCGCUGGGCGCAUUCACAUCAUCAAUACGACACAGGGGACAUGCAUAAUCGGGCGGAUGGCUCCCAAUGCGAUGCAUUUAUGCGUUCGCUCGUUGUUUUGUAGGAAAUCCCGUCCAGACAGGAAUUUCCAAAAAUGCUGGCAUACGAAUGCAUUGGUUGCUGAUCUGUGUGUGGCCAGUAACCAGCGAGAAGUGGGAAUGUGUUGGCAAGGGGCGGGUAUACUUCACUUGGACUAGUCCAUUGCCAGGCGUUGCUUUGGUUAGUUAGCGCGGCUGGCUGGCAAAAUAAUCAAAUGCGACUGGCUGGCAGCGCUUGCCGCGCUGAGAUAAUAAAAAACAGAUUAGAGAUUGGACGUAAUCCUGAAGUGGGGAAUUGAGCCGCGAACAAAGCCAGAAACUCGUUGAAAAUGGCAUUGAUUCGCCGAAUGAAGUUCCUGGAACUACAGAAUAUACGAACUGGAUCUGAUAGAAAAACGCAGCAAGCUCUAAAUAUUUAAAUCAAACUUUAAUGCCAUUUUCUG